rnacentral:rRNA from 1 species
AGGGAAUCUUCGGCAAUGGGGGCAACCCUGACCGAGCAACGCCGCGUGAGUGAAGAAGGUUUUCGGAUCGUAAAGCUCUGUUGUAAGUCAAGAACGAGUGUGAGAGUGGAAAGUUCACACUGUGACGGUAGCUUACCAGAAAGGGACGGCUAACUACGUGCCAGCAGCCGCGGUAAUACGUAGGUCCCGAGCGUUGUCCGGAUUUAUUGGGCGUAAAGCGAGCGCAGGCGGUUUGAUAAGUCUGAAGUUAAAGGCUGUGGCUCAACCAUAGUUCGCUUUGGAAACUGUCAAACUUGAGUGCAGAAGGGGAGAGUGGAAUUCCAUGUGUAGCGGUGAAAUGCGUAGAUAUAUGGAAGAACACCAGUGGCGAAGGCGGCUCUCUGGUCUGCAACUGACGCUGAGGCUCGAAAGCAUGGGUAGCGAACAGGAUUAGAUACCCUGGUAGUCCAUGCCGUAAACGAUGAGUGCUAAGUGUUGGGAGGUUUCCGCCUCUCAGUGCUGCAGCUAACGCAUUAAGCACUCCGCCUGGGGAGUACGACCGCAAGGUUGAAACUCAAAGGAAUUGACGGGGGCCCGCACAAGCGGUGGAGCAUGUGGUUUAAUUCGAAGCAACGCGAAGAACCUUACCAGGUCUUGACAUCUAGUGCAAUCCGUAGAGAUACGGAGUUCCCUUCGGGGACACUAAGACAGGUGGUGCAUGGCUGUCGUCAGCUCGUGUCGUGAGAUGUUGGGUUAAGUCCCGCAACGAGCGCAACCCUUGUCAUUAGUUGCCAGCAUUAAGUUGGGCACUCUAAUGAGACUGCCGGUGACAAACCGGAGGAAGGUGGGGAUGACGUCAAGUCAUCAUGCCCCUUAUGACCUGGGCUACACACGUGCUACAAUGGACAGUACAACGAGGAGCAAGCCUGCGAAGGCAAGCGAAUCUCUUAAAGCUGUUCUCAGUUCGGACUGCAGUCUGCAACUCGACUGCACGAAGCUGGAAUCGCUAGUAAUCGCGGAUCAGCACGCCGCGGUGAAUACGUUCCC